GUCCAAUUAAUUAGACUGCUUUAACGUGGUUUGUUGCUUCCUUAUAUUGUUCCAGUGUUAGAGGUUGAUUGUCGCUGAGCCGGUGCAUGCAUGCAAGAAGAGACAAAACUGCUAAUGUCAUGCCACAUGCAAAACAGUUUGAAAUUUAAAAAAUAUGAAUAUUAAACCGAGCAUCAAAAUUAAAUUCUGAUUGCACCAUUAGAUUUUUGACAACAAAAGCUUCAUAACAAGAAUCCAC
rnacentral:lncRNA from 1 species